UCCUUUCUCCCAUCCCAUCCUUUCUCCCAUCCCUUCCUUCUCCCAUCCCUUCCUUCUCCCAUCCCUUCUCCCAUCCCUUUGCAGCUGGAGGCCAACCCGCCCUGCAUCCCUCCAUCCCCGACCCUCUGCCCCAGUGCUCCCAGCAGCCCCGCGCGCAGACCCUCACCUCCGGGACGGCACCCACAGGAAGAACAUCAACAGGAGUUUGGGGUCCCUGGGACGACUCUUUGCACCCUGACCCCCCCUGGGGUGCUGCAGGUAUUUGGGGGCAGCCCCCCACCCCCCCCUUUCCUUCCUGGGCUCAUAGCCCAGCGGGUGCGGAUGCCGCAAGGAGCCCGCCGUGCCGUGCCGUGCCGUGCCGUGCCGUGCCGCGCCAAUAAAGCUCUUUUCGCUGCGGGUCUCCCGCAUCCUCUCCUUUGUUUGCCGAGGUUUCUCUUCCAGCGGCGGAGGCAGGACCCGCACUCAGCACCAGGUGGGGGGGAUGAAUAUUAAAAUUUCCCCCCCAACCCAAAAUAAAUAAAAAAAAAAACCUAAAAAACCUCA
rnacentral:lncRNA from 1 species